UCAUAUUCUAUUGGUUAGAUGCAAGUCACAGGUCCUACCCACACUAAAGAGGAGGGGACAAUAAGAGUGUAAUGCCAGAAACAGGGAUCAUGUAGUAUCACCUUAGGUUCAAUAUGUCACCAUCACUCUCCUUACAUUCUCUUAGAUUCUCAAUUUUCUCAUCAGUAUUAUCAGGAUAUGACAGAAUGAUGGUCAGACAUCUUCCAUGAGUUCAGGCAGCACCAGUUCUAAUGAGCACUAUUAUGAAGAGUGAGCAUCCGCCGAGGACUUUGCAUUGUCUUCUGGGGAAAGGACUCAUGAAAGCAAUGGCCAUGGGCAGAAGAACAGAGGAUAUAAGUAGAUCCAUAGCUUGCUUAUCUGACCAGAGCCUCUGCCAAAUAUACAGCUUACCAGAAGUAGUGACUAACCUUGAACUCUUGAUAAGAUCUCGUGCUUCAAGAUAUAGCUUCUGUGAAAAUGGAAAGGUACCUUUCUUCAGGCCAAGAAAGAUGAUGCAAUGAGCACAACAGCCACUUUUAUCACAUGCAGAAGUUUCCAACCUCAUGGGGUUCUUGUCACCAGGCAGUGCCACCUGAUGCAUGGUCUCACUGUUUCUCAGGCUGGAAUGCAGUGGCAUGAUCAUGGCUCACUGCAGCCUUGACUUCCUGGACUCAAGCUAUCCUCCCACCUCAGCUUCCUGAGUAGCUGGGACCACAAGCAUGCACCACCACACCUGGCUAAAUUUUUUUUUUUUUAGGGCCAGUGUCUCCCUUUGUUGCCCAGGCUGUUGUCAAACUUCUGUGCUCAAGCAAUCCUCCCACCUCAGCCUCUCAAAGUGCUGAGUGCUGGGAUUACAGGCAUUAGCUAACGGACCCGGCAAACUGGUAUUUCUAAUAAGGUUAAACAACUUAUUAUUUACUUUUUUCUACUUAAAUAUUCAUCUACUUUGAGUGCUACUAAGUUGUUAUCAAUGUACUCUAUAUUGAUAAUGGCAUAAGUCUCAUCCAGAAAAGAAUGCUAA